ACACCACGCAGGGUCAGGUUGGGCUAUGGGCUGCGCUGCUGAGAGCUGAUGCUUUUGGGGCCGGAGCUUCCAGAUUUGGUUCCCCCUCCCUUCAAAUCUUUGGGGAUUUUUUUUUUUUUUUUCCCAGCUGUCAUUUCCCUUUCUGCCUCAGUUUCCCUAUCAGAAAGAAGAAACGUGAGCAGCUGCAGGGUGACGUUAUCUGAGCCCACAGCACCAAAGGAACACCCUAUUUCGGGAUAGGACUUUGCGCAUCUACGCGUGUGGAUGCUCAGAUAAGUACUGGCAUUGGCUCCUUUUUUCCCCUCUGGUCUCUCAAAAACAAAAUCAGGAAAAACAACAACAACAACAACAUGUUUUUUUGGAGAGAAGCAUGGGGGGAAGCAAAAUGCUGCUGCUCUGCUUUCUGGGGUGGAGGCUUCGGAGCCUUCUCCGAAAAGACAAUGGAGCGCAGAAUGGACUCAGGUGGAGGGGAGAGGAGGAGGAAGCAAACCUCGAAGGGAGAUUAAAAUCACCAAGUGGGCAAACGAGGCCGUCCUGCUCACAAUGAUAUUAUCAGGAUUCCUGCGGAAGCAGCCGCUGUGGGGAAUUUGUCCCCUAAGCAGAGCUUUCCUGCCCUUCUCUGAUGCUUUGUAAACAGCGGUGGCUUUGGGCUGGGCUGAGCGGGGCGAGUGCGGAUGCUGGGAGUGAAAAAAAAAAAUGCCAUUUUAAAUGGUAAUUCUUAUUUUAAGAAGCACCAACAGCAGAGCGCUGCAGGUUCCCACUCUCCGUGCCCACAUCCGCUGCACGCGGGGGUGGCUGCGCUCGCAGCACCGUCUCCACUCCACGCUGCUCUGUGACAGCUUUUAGGGUCAGAUGGGCACUGAGAGCAGCUCUGCACCGUUGGGGCUCAGCCCUGAAACCGCACAUUGGAGCCAUAUGCUUUGCAAGCGCUGCCUGUUCUCUCUUAAUUAAACACAGCCCUGCUCAC